rnacentral:RNase_P_RNA from 1 species
GAAGUAAAUCGGUCAAUCGCGGGAAACCGAGGAAAGUCCGUGCUCCAUAGAGCUAGGAUGCCGGAUAACGUCCGGUAGGGGCGACCCUAAGGCAAGUGCAACAGAGAGAUACCGCCCGUAAGGGUAAGGGUGGAAAGGCGAGGUAAGAGCUCACCGGAAUAUAGGCGACUAUAUUGCCAUGUAAACCCCAUCCGGAGCAAGACCGAAAAGGAAGAAAAAGGUGUUUGCUCUACACCUUCCAAGAGGUAGGUUGCUUGACCUUAUUGGUAACAAUAAGGCUAGAUAGAUGAUUGAUAAAACAGAACACGGCUUACGGAUUUACUUCUAAC